rnacentral:rRNA from 1 species
UACGUAGGGUGCAAGCGUUAAUCGGAAUUACUGGGCGUAAAGCGUGCGCAGGCGGUGCUGUAAGACCGAUGUGAAAUCCCCGGGCUAACCUGGGAACUGCAUUGGUGACUGCAGCGCUGGAGUAUGGCAGAGGGGGGUGGGAUUCCACGUGUAGCAGUGAAAUGCGUAGAGAUGUGGAGGAAUACCGAUGGCGAAGGCAGCCCCCUGGGAUAACACUGACGCUCUGCACAGAAAAGCGUGG